rnacentral:rRNA from 1 species
GGCGGACUAGCUGUUCCGAAUGACGCUGAGAAUCACGCACCCAUGUGGAAGAAGAAAUCUAUAUUUUGGGACCUACCCUACUGGAAAUACCUAGAGGUCCGCUCUUCGAUCGACGUGAUGCACGUGACGAAGAACCUUUGCGUGAACCUGCUAGGCUUCUUGGGCGUGUAUGGGAAGACAAAAGAUACACCUGAGGCACGAGAGGACCUGCAACGCUUGCACGAAAAAGAGGGCAUGCCUCCGAAGCAGUAUAAAGGUCCUGCCAGCUACGCUCUUACGAAAGAAGAGAAAGAAAUAUUCUUUCAAUGCCUGCUCAGUAUGAAGGUCCCGACUGGCUUCACGUCGAAUAUAAAGGGAAUAAUAAAUAUGCCAGGGAAAAAGUUCCAGAACCUAAAGUCUCAUGACUGCCACGUGAUUAUGACGCAUCUGCUUCCGGUUGCAUUGAGGGGGCUUCUACCGGAAAACGUCCGACUAGCCAUUGUGAAGCUAUGUGCAUUCCUCAAUGCAAUAUCUCAGAAGGUGAUCGAUCCAGAAAUCGUACCAACGCUAAGGAGUGAUGUGGCGCAAUGUCUUGUCAGUUUCGAGCUGGUGUUCCCACCAUCCUUC